AGAGUCUGAGGACUAUCCAGGGCCUGACUGCCAGCUAGCCAGCCAUGGGCCAGGAUUAUUACUCUGUGCUCGGGAUCACUCGCAAUUCAGAGGAUGCCCAGAUCAAGCAGGCGUACCGCAGACUCGCCCUUAAGCACCACCCGUUGAAGUCAAAUGAGCCGUCUUCAGCAGAGAUUUUCAGGCAAAUAGCAGAGGCCUACGACGUGCUGAGUGACCCCAUGAAGAGAGGCAUCUAUGACAAGUUUGGAGAAGAGGGCCUGAAGGGUGGGAUUCCUUUGGAGUUUGGAUCCCAGACCCCAUGGACAACUGGUUACGUCUUCCACGGCAAACCUGAAAAGGUGUUCCACGAGUUCUUUGGUGGAAACAACCCCUUCAGUGGUAAGAGGUCUUCCUCCCCCACCUUGCCUUAUAGAGAAAGGACACAGCUAUAAGUGAUGUUUUCGUUGAGUAGUUUUGUUUUUAUUUUUACUUUAUUAUUUUAUUUUAUUUACUUAUUUUUUUUGGCGAUGGAGACUCACUCUGUUGCCCAGGCUGGAGUGCAGUAGUGGGAUCAUGGCUUACUGCAACCUCUGCCUCCCGGGUUCAAAUGAUUCU
rnacentral:sRNA from 1 species